AUACUACUCCCUCCGUUCGGAAUUACUUGUCAUAAAAAUAGAUAUAUCUAGACAUUUUUUAGUUCUAGAUACAUCCAUUUCUGCGACAAGUAAUUUGGAACGGAGGGAGUAUAUA
rnacentral:pre_miRNA from 1 species